AUGAGUCAAAUGAUAAUAAAAGAUCUCUGUAACCGUUCACUGACUACUACUAAUAUCCAUAGUAGGAAACUUCACCUCAAACUAAGUUUUUUCUGUUAUAGUUUCUCCCAGGUUUCUCUCUUGAUUUUCACUAUUCUCCCUCUGAAGAAAUUCCCUACCAACUAA